rnacentral:sRNA from 1 species
GCUGGGUGUGGUGGUGCACGCCUGUAAUCCCAGCUACUUAGGAGGCUGAGGCAGGAGAAUUGCUUGAACCCAGGAGGAGGAGGUUGCAGUGAGCUAAGAUCCUGCCACUGCACUCCAGCCUGGGUGACAGAGCAAGACUCCAUCUCCG